rnacentral:rRNA from 1 species
GCGCACGGGUGAGUAACGCGUGGGUAACCUACCCUUGAAUUGGGGAUAACUCUUCGAAAGGGGAGUUAAUACCGGAUAAUAUCCCGGAUUCUUCGGAGACCGGUAUCAAAGAAGGCCUCUGCUUGCAAGCUUUUGCUGAAGGAUGAGUCCGCGUACCAUUAGCUAGUUGGUAGGGUAACGGCCUACCAAGGUUAUGAUGGUUAGCUGGUCUGAGAGGAUGAUCAGCCACACUGGAACUGAGACACGGUCCAGACUCCUACGGGAGGCAGCAGUGAGGAAUAUUGCGCAAUGGGGGCAACCCUGACGCAGCAACGCCGCGUGAGUGAGGAAGGUUUUCGGAUUGUAAAGCUCUGUCGAGCGGAAAGAAAUGCAUUAUGGCUAAUAUCCAUAAUGCUUGACGGUACCGCUAAAGGAAGCACCGGCUAACUCCGUGCCAGCAGCCGCGGUAAUACGGGGGGUGCAAGCGUUGUUCGGUAUCAUUGGGCGUAAAGCGCGUGUAGGCGGCUUGAUAAGUCAGAUGUGAAAUCCCUGGGCUUAACCCAGGAAGUGCAUCUGAAACUGUCAGGCUAGAGUACGGGAGAGGAGAGUGGAGUUCCCGGUGUAGAGGUGAAAUUCGUAGAUAUCGGGAGGAACACCAGUGGCGAAGGCGGCUCUCUGGUCCGAUACUGACGCUGAGACGCGAAAGCGUGGGGAGCAAACAGGAUUAGAUACCCUGCUAGUCCACGCCGUAAACGAUGGGCACUAGGUGUAGGAGGUAUUGACCCCUUCUGUGCCGAAGCUAACGCAUUAAGUGCCCCCGCCUGGGGUGUACGGCCGCAAGGCUU